AUCUUGGACUUUCAGCCUCCAGAACUCUCUUCAUGCCUGCCUUGUGUGACCUGGGGAUGAAAGAGUGCCCACCCAACUCACUCUACCCUACUUGGUCAGAAUUUUUAACAAGUUGAGGAUAAAGAAUACAAACAAUCAUAAAGAACCUGAGGAAU